UUUUUAUUGAGAGUUUGAUCCUGGCUCAGGACGAACGCUGGCGGCGUGCCUAACACAUGCAAGUCGAGCGAUGAAGCUUCUUCGGAAGUGGAUUAGCGGCGGACGGGUGAGUAACACGUGGGCAACCUGCCUCAUGAGAGGGAUAGCCUUUCGAAAGGAAGAUUAAUACCAACUAAAAUGUUAGAU
rnacentral:rRNA from 1 species